rnacentral:piRNA from 1 species
UUUUCCCAAUUUCAGCAUGCC